rnacentral:rRNA from 1 species
CGACGCUGGCGGCGUGCUUAACACAUGCAAGUCGAACGAUGAUGCCCAGCUUGCUGGGUGGAUUAGUGGCGAACGGGUGAGUAACACGUGAGUAACCUGCCCCUGACUCUGGGAUAAGCGUUGGAAACGACGUCUAAUACUGGAUAUGACUGCCGGCCGCAUGGUCUGGUGGUGGAAAGAUUUUUUGGUUGGGGAUGGACUCGCGGCCUAUCAGCUUGUUGGUGAGGUAAUGGCUCACCAAGGCGACGACGGGUAGCCGGCCUGAGAGGGUGACC